CCUUUCUCUAAUCAGUGAAACUGAUCUCUCCGUGAAGAAGCGGGGAUACUCCUAUAAGACGAAAAGACCCCAUGGAGCUUCAAACCCAACUACACCCUUAACUACCACAACCGCACAACCUCUUAGGGCCCUGUAUAGUUGGUUUUAGGUUGGGGCGACCACGGAGUACAACCAAACCUCCGCAAUGGACGGGACCACUCCCUUAUCUAAGAGCCACACCUCUAAGAAUUAAAACACUAACAUAAAAUGAUCCAUGAUCUGAUCAAUGAACCAAGUUACCCUGGGGAUAACAGCGCAAUCCAUUUCAAGAGCCCUUAUCGACAAGUGGGUUUACGACCUCGAUGUUGGAUCAGGGUAUCCUAGUGGUGCAGCAGCUACUAAUGGUUCGUUUGUUCAACGAUUAAAACCCU
rnacentral:rRNA from 1 species